UCCCACUUACUUACCUCCCCCGCUCCCGCCCCAAGGCAGACAGCUGUGGGGGACGAGGACACGUCUUGCGGUUUUCUUAAAAAUUGCUGUUAACUUCAGAAAACAGUUAAGCUCUUUCUGGGCAGGUCAGCUCCAGUGAUGAUAAGCAUCAGCUGCUGCGGAUCUCUAAGAAUUCAGGUGGGAUAAAAAGUGAAUUAUUAGACAUGAAAUCAUCAUUAAAUUGGUUUUAAAACCAUUGAAAUCCGUGUAACCGAUUUUUAACAGGGGGUAAUUUGGCUCAGUUGUUCAAGUUACAAAGGUGUAUGGCUGCUUGUUUUAAAAUGCAGCUCUCAAAUUCAUCCCUUGUUAAACUUACAUAUAAAUAUAUGGCAGGUAAAGGCAAGCUAUAUCCAGAUUUUUUAAAGGAAUUUAAGGGGGGGUGGAGGAAUCUGAUCAAUUUAAAAUUGUUUACUCCCGAAUUUAUUAGAGUUCCAGCCGUGCACCUGUAUGGAACAUAAAUAUCAGAUGAAAAAGUCUUGCCAAGAGCCUGAAGCCGUACAAUAGGGGACGAAACACUUAAAAUCCUGCUUAAUUAUUCGGGCCAAGUGAAACGCUUGAUUAUAUUUAGGUCUUUCCACUAAUGAUUUUCUCUCCCUAAAACUCUCACCGCGAAUAAUACACCUGCAUUGCUGAGCAAAACAGUAGGCCACUCUGAAAACUGCCUGUCCAGACAGUGAGAGAUGGGAUCGGGAUACUCGGUCGGUUCGUGGCACUCCCUGAAGAGAAUAUGGCUUUAAACAGGGCACACUUCAUCCUCCUCUUCACCAGGUCCGAGUGGCGUGUUAUUAUAAAAGUGUGUCUAGGUAAUAAACCGAGAAGUUCUGAGAACUUCUGAACAUGCUCUGGCUGGGCAGGUUUGAGUUGAAGUCUUUAAAAUUGGGUGACAUCUCACUCCCAAACCAUCCUACUAUCCUAUGAUUCCAUGAUGCUGAGAUUCUGUGAUUCUAAGACUGGAGAAUUCGGAGCCACACGGCGGCAGGGACACGGUGGUAUCUCCGGUUUCUGUGUGGGUAAGGAAGGGGAGCUGGGAACCUGUCCGACCUCAAAAACGAGGUGGGGGUUUUCCUGCUGAGAAGGUACCAACCGGCGCAUCCCAACCUGGUAUGUGAGGAUGGGAGGAGCAUUAGGCGGUUCUUCCCUGAGUCCGCCGACCCAUUUCAGUUGGGAUCGUUAUUUCCAUCGGAGGAUAACGAGUUACUUUUUAAAUGUGUGUGCGUACAUUUUCCAGGUACGUUUAAAGGUGAUAAUUUUCCUUAAGAAGUGUAGGAAUAACAGCAUAAAUCUUCAAAAAAGAUCACUAUUUUCUCUGCUCGUCCCGUCAGCUCCUCUCCUGUCCCAUCCCCUCCCUUUUCUAUUUCUUCUUUCUGCUUUCUUUUUUUUCUUUUCCCAAAUGAACAACUAGACUCGAUAAAGACCGAGGAAGUUAAGGAGUGGUUCAGCUUACAGUGAUCGUGGAUCUGCUGCCGGGGGCCCACCAGGAGAUGUAAUCAACAUUGUGUAGGAGCAAACUUGCAAUCCCCACUACGGCAGGGAGCAGGUAGGUGUCCCUGUGGUGCUGCAAACACUCCCGUAACCUGCGGUGCUCUGAGCUCUGCGGCUCUGCUGUUGGGGACAGAUAUUGGUCAGAAGGGAGACCUUAGGUCACCAAACGCAAAGAAGUGUUGAGGAAGGGUUCCCAGCCGUAGUCUCUGCCAGAUGAGGAAGCCUCCUCGUUCUGCUCGGACAGCUUCUCUCCAGGCACCAGCAGCACAUGGCCUCUUUCCUCCUACUUCCAGAAAAAAACAACCUGUUCCUCACCGGAGACAGCGCCAUCCAGAGAAGACACGUGGACAGGACGAUGGAGAAUCCCCCGCUUCUUCGCCUCCGCCGGGGACUCCCUGCCAGCCCUGCCACCACCAGCGAACUUCACCGGAGUAAAACCUCCAGCAUUCGGGAAAAUAACAACUACAAACCCCGCUUUUGCACGCACCCACCCCUUCCAAACGCCUUCAUACCGGUUUUUCAUCCCGGCAUAAGGGUUUCUGCCUACUUUCCAAGCUGCUCUGAACGGAUGGAUGCACACUCCUCUCUCCCUCCGGAGAGAUAAACAUAAUUUCAAAAUCCCCAACCCUCAAAUAGUAUGUUACAUUAGACCUGUUAUUCUUACCAUGAUAAAUAAGAUUAUUAAUAAUCCUCAUUAGCAUUAUUAUUAAGAGAAAGCACAAAGAAAUCAACCUGUGGAGCGGUGCCCUCUCCCCAGAACGGACGGACAGACGGUAGGACGGACAGACAGGGAGGAAGGGUCAGACUUGGUGUGUCCCUUCGGUGCCCCCUUCCCCAUUUCGUUGGGAGCCACUGUUCACCGCCGGUCGGUACAUGGGUUGUUGCCGAGCCCGGAGAGACAGAGAGCGGCGGGAAGGACGCAGGGGGAUCGAAGAGGUACGGGGGAAACCUAGGAGAAACGGGUGGACCGAGGAGGAACUGGAGGACCCAGGAGGGACGGGGGGAUAGGAGAGGGAAGCGGGGAUCGAGGAUGGAUAGGGGUGUUCGAGGAGGGACGGAGGUGAUGUGAUGAGGCGCUGGCGCCCCCAGGCGGUGCCGCACGGAAGCGCCUCGCUCCUCACACGCAGUGCAUCCUCCCGCUCCCUCGGACAUCCCGCACCACCUUCCCGCUGCCUCGAGAACCAAGAAACAGGUAAACAUCAGAAUAGGCAGGAAAAAUAGUGACAGUACAGACAAGGUGUGCGAAGGCGAGGCGGGAGAAAAAAAAAAAAAACCGAAUCAGAAUAAGUCUGAAAAAUAAAGGACACUUCCUGUUUUUUAAGGUAAAUGCGGUGGGUCCCUCUGGAGCAACCAGUGGCCAAAGAGAAAUAUAGGGAAAAAGGGAAAAAAAUUAUAAAGGGUGAGGGGAGGAGGAAAGGGAAGGGGGGAGAAAAUUUGAAGAAAAUGCGGUGGAAUGAGGCCAAGGAGGUGGGUCACACUGAACAUGGGUGUGCAGGUAGGAGGGUGGCUGAAAAACAUGUCCAUGACAUGGACGUGAAAAAUCACCUGCAAUGUGGAAAAGAACAUUUGUGUUUGUUUUUUGGUGAUUUUGUGUGUGUGUGUGUGUGUGUGUGUGUGGUUUUUGCUUGUUUGUUUGGUUUUUUAUACAUGUUUGCUGGGAGUUGUGUGGGUUUUAUUGCAUUUGUUUGGUUUGGUGGUUUCAUUGUUUGGUUUUAUUUAUCUAUUUAUUUAUGUAUUAAAAUUUUAUUUUUAUAAUUUUAUGUUAUCCUCUGUUAGGGGCAAGCAGCAGUUCUGCCAGCCGGGGCAGAUGCUCCCUGGUCUUCCCUAUCCUGCCCCACACAUCCUCACGGAGGUUCUACUGUCCAGAGAAAGAGGAGACAGUUUGGUCUCUGUAGGUGAAAGUUUUCUUCAGGAAGCAUAACUCGAGGAUUAAGUUCCCAGCAGCCAUCCCUCUUCUCAUUGGUCACCAAAUCUCAUCAGAAAGCCCAAGAAUAACUAACUCUUGAAGGGAAAUGCAUGUUUAUUAGUGGACUUUAGCUUUACUGAGCCUAACAGACCCCUCUCAGUGUCAGAGUUUUGUUGCUACUGAGAGUAAAACCAGCAAGUUUGGACAUUGGUAGAAAACUGCUACUUCAGUGUCAGCUGACCCAUUCAAAGCUGUUUUCAUUGUGACUGUGAUGAAGAAUCAGAGUCUUGUUUCUGCUGCCAGGCUCUGCUUCCCACAAAGUCCUUCUUCUGCUUUGCUUGUGAUUACUUAUCCGGAACAUGGGGAAAAAUAAUUUUUCUUUCUAAAAUAUCAUGGAACUUUGUUUUGUUUUGCAUGAAUUUUCAGACAAACUUAUAAACAUGAAAAAUGUUUUAUCUGGUAUUCAGCAACUGACAUGCAGAAGUGCAAUGAAAAUAAAGCUCUAAAUACUUGAAAAUCAAAUGAUCUUUCAUUGGCCUAAAGAUGGUUGCAAUCAAGAUUAUUUUCUGGGCUAGCUUUUAGUUCACAGAGAUGCAUACAAAAGUCUCCUUAUGUGACUUCAUGUUGGACAGUUGUUAAAUAUAAUGGCUAGAUGCUCAGUUACUUGUCCUCAACACUGCCUAAAUGCCCAUCAUACAAUUAAUAAAACAAAAUUAAAAAUCUGUUCUCUGUUGGACAAUUUUGAGAGAGCAAGAUAGAAACGAAUAGAAAUAACUACACUUUUUUUUCCUGCAGUGUCCAGAGCAGUAGACAUAAGUGUUAGGUGCUAGAUACCAGAACGUUUUUUUAAGGCUUGGAGCUGCCUACUCCCUC